UACGUAGGGAGCGAGCGUUGUCCGGAUUUACUGGGCGUAAAGGGCGCGUAGGCGGUCUGUUAAGCGUGAAGUGAAAUCUCCAGGGCUCAACCCGGAAACUGCUUUGCGAACUGGCAGACUAGAGGAAGGUAGAGGUAAGUGGAAUUCCCGGUGUAGCGGUGACAUGCAUUGAUACCGGGAGGAACACCCAUGGCGAAGGCAGCUUACUGGACCUUAUCUGACGCUGAGGCGCGAAAGCGUGGGUAGCAAA
rnacentral:rRNA from 1 species